UACGAAGGGGGCUAGGCGUUGCUCGGAAUUACUGGGCGUAAAGGCGCAACGUAGGCGGAUCUUUAAGUCAGGGUGAAAGUCCUGGAGCUCAACUCCAGAACUGCCUUUGAUACUGAGGACCUUGAGUUCGGGAGAGGUAAGUGGAACUGCGAGUGUAGAGGUGAAAUUCGUAGAUAUUCGCAAGAACACCAGUGGCGAAGGCGGCUUACUGGUCCGGAUCUGACGCUGAGGCGCGAAAGCGUGGGGAGCAAACAGGG
rnacentral:rRNA from 1 species